ACGUCAAGUCCUCAUGGCCCUUACGGGCUGGGCUACACACGUGCUACAAUGGCGGUGACAGAGGGACGCAAAAGGGCGACCUUUCGCAAAUCUCAAAAAGCCGUCUCAGUUCGGAUUGGGGUCUGCAACUCGACCCCAUGAAGUUGGAAUCGCUAGUAAUCGCAGAUCAGCACGCUGCGGUGAAUACGUUCCCGGGCCUU
rnacentral:rRNA from 1 species